rnacentral:rRNA from 1 species
AGUGAACGCUGGCGGCAGGCCUAACACAUGCAAGUCGAACGGCAGCACAGUGGAGCUUGCUCCAUGGGUGGCGAGUGGCGGACGGGUGAGGAAUACAUCGGAAUCUGCCCAGUCGUGGGGGAUAACAUAGGGAAACUUAUGCUAAUACCUCAUACGACCUACGGGUGAAAGCGGGGGAUCGCAAGACCUCGCGCGAUUGGAUGAGCCGAUGUCCGAUUAGCUAGUUGGCGGGGUAAUGGCCCACCAAGGCGACGAUCGGUAGCUGGUCUGAGAGGAUGAUCAGCCACACUGGAACUGAGACACGGUCCAGACUCCUACGGGAGGCAGCAGUGGGGAAUAUUGGACAAUGGGCGCAAGCCUGAUCCAGCCAUGCCGCGUGGGUGAAGAAGGCCUUCGGGUUGUAAAGCCCUUUUGUCCGGAAAGAAAAGUCCCGGGUUAAUACCCUGGGGUGAUGACGGUACCGGAAGAAUAAGCACCGGCUAACUUCGUGCCAGCCGCCGCAGUAACAC